rnacentral:piRNA from 1 species
CCUUUCACCCCGGGAGGAACAGAAA